UGUCCCAUAGCUCAGUUGGUAGAGCGCCAGCUUCCUUUGCUGGUGGUCAGAGGUUCGAGUCCUCUUGGGGCUGCAA